rnacentral:lncRNA from 1 species
GUGAGUCACCUCAGGAAAUAGUCUCUGCCUUCUGCAAUUCUUGGGGGUAGAGGAUCUUAUAAUAGUUUGUUUUGUGCUUGUUUAUUUGUUUGUUUCAAAACAGGACGCUCACAGAGGUCUGAAACUCACCAAAAUAGCUAGGCUGGUUGGUCAGGCAACCUUAAAGAUCCACCCUAAGGAUCUCUGCCUCCCCAGUGCUGGGAUUACAUUAUACAUCACCAUACUUGGCUUUGUUUGUUUAGACAAGGUCUCACUAUUUAGACCAGGUUGGCCUAUAACACAAAGAGAUCCAUCAGCUUCUGUGGGAUUCAGGAUGUGCUCCACCAUGCCUGGCUCCCAAACUUUUGACUUAGAAAAAUAAUACAUACUUGUAAAGGAACAUAAGGCUGGGCUGAGAAUGUGACGCAGCUCAAUGGUGGAGUGCUUGCCUAGCAUAAACGGCCCUGGGCUCUAUGGCCAGUGCUCCCUCCACCCCAAAAAUGCAGGUCAGAAAUAUAUAGGGAAAAUGAAUUCCCCAUGGCAGGCAUGGUUGAGCACACCUUUAAUCCCAGAACUUGGGAGCAAGAGGCAGGCAGAUCUCUGAGUUCUAGGCCAGCCAGAGUUACAUAGUGUUUGUCUAAAAAAGCAAACAAAAAGAAAGAAAGAAAGAAAGAAAGAAAGAAAGAAAGAAGAAAGAAAGGAAGAAGAAAUAAAAUGAAUCUCUCUCUAACCAAUCCCUUUGGCCGACAUUUGUGAUUGAGGGAUAAUGUAAUAGUCUGUGUUUUUAAAGCAAAAGAUAUAUGUACAUAUAAACAUGCAUGCAAGGUUUCUAUAUAGACAUUAAAAUAUUAAAAUUAGUUCAUUGAUUCCUAUUAAAUAUCUUUUAUAAAUUCUCUACAUUCCUGUUCAGUUUAAUGGACAUCUUAUGUUGACAUCUGAGACAUGUUUAUUCCUUUUGUUACUUAAUAUGAGGCAUUUUUAAUGUUUAUAAUUGUUGCUAUUAAAACAACACAGGAAAGGGUAAGGAGAUGGCUCAGUAGGUGAACCAUAGAAGAGCUAGGCAGGAAUGGCAGCCCGCUGGACUCUCAGAUUCCUAGAACAAGCUGGUAUUUGUACUAGCUCUGCUAAGCACAAAGACCGGUGUUCAGAUCCUUUUUGCCCAUCCCCUUCUCCUGAGGGCCACUGGAUCGCCUGAGACCCCUGGCCCUGGACUCCGUACAUUUCACUUCUCCCCAGCAUGCAACAUCCACCAUCUUGUAAAAGUUGGACACAGUAGUAUACAUGUCUAUAACCCUGGGGCUGAGUGGUUCGAGACAGGCAUACCUGUAGAGCUCACUGGCAAACCAGCCUAGCCUAACUGAUGAGCUGCAGGUGGUGAGACACACUAAACUCAAAAACUAAGGUGGAGUCAAGUGUGCGGUUACAUGCCUUUACUCUCAGCACUUGAGGCAGAGGCAGGCAGAUCUUGGUGAGUUCAAGGCCAGCUUGGUCUACAUGUUGAACUCCAGGAGGGCCAGGACUACAUAGAGACCCUGUCUACAUACACAUGCACACGUGGAGCGUGACUAGAGAAGGUGCUCAGCAUCUACCCCUGUCCUCCACACGCAUGUAUUCAUAAGUGGGUCCAUAUUCAUGCAUACCGUUCUGCAAGGUCCAGAGAACAUGGAGCCAACCACAUUGGCUCCUUGCAGCUGGUAGGGAUGGUGGAUGUUGCAUGCUGGGGAGAGGUGAAAUGUAUGGAGUCCAGGGCCAGGGCUCUCAGGUGGUCCAGUGGCUCCCAGGAGAAGGGGAUUAGCAAGGGUUGGCAUCCUUCAGGCAGCAUCAUUUGAAGCCUGGAAGCUAGAAAACAUUAAUCAUAAACGAGCAAGGACCAAAACCACAGGGCAAGAUGGAAACAGUGAGACCCAGUGGAGCACAUGACUUUCAGGGCAGUGUGUUGAAUUCUGGAGGAAACGAAGCUCAGUGGCCGUUUCAGGGGGAAGUGUACAUGGCUUUGUCUGCUAGGCACAGGAUUUCCCUGCGGUUGGUCUUUGUGGUCUCUCUUGAAGAGAAAGCAUGUGUCCUUGGAUUGCCUUAUUUGUCUUAGUAGGUUUUUCUUAUUUCUUGUUUUGAGUGCUUUCUGGAAAAUAGGGUUUAAUUAGGGACAAGUGAAUCUAGUGAGUGAUUUCCUGGAAUUUGUCCAUGGGCUCAUGCCACCCACGUUCAUGGUGGUUCUUCCCACGUAGUUAACCCUCUCUAGAAACACCCUGCAGGCACCCCCAGAGAUGUGCUUUAGCAAUUAGUUAAGUCCUAACAGCCAGCAAGGUUGACAGGGAAUAUCACUGGGGCACCGGCUAGCCAGGUGCAAGCGGUCAUUUUCCUUCUUCAUUAUUGGAGUCACUUCUGCUGGAGUCUGUCAGGUCAGGUGCAUCUGCUUUCAGCCGGUUGGUGCUUGGUCUGCAUGUAUCUGCUCUCCACUUCCUUAUUCUUUUAAAGAUAAGAUUACUUUUGUUGUUGUUGGUGGUGGUGGUGGGUUUUUUUUUGUUUGUUUUGUC